rnacentral:tRNA from 1 species
GGCCCCUUGGUCAAGUGGCUAAGACAUCGCCCUUUCACGGCGGCAACAUGGGUUCGAAUCCCGUAGGGGUCACCA